rnacentral:rRNA from 1 species
AGUUACCAGCACGUUAUGGUGGGCGACUCUAAGGAGACUGCCGGUGACAAACCGGAGGAAGGUGGGGAGUGACGGUCAAGUCAUCAUGGCCCUUACGGCCUGGGCGUACACACGUGCUACAAUGGUCGGUACAAAGGGUUGCCAAGCCGCGAGGUGGAGCUAAUCCCAUAAAACCGAUCGUAGUCCGGAUCGCAGUCUGCAACUCGACUGCGUGAAGUCGGAAUCGCUAGUAAUCGUGAAUCAGAAUGUCACGGUGAAUACGUUCCCGGGCCUU